rnacentral:rRNA from 1 species
GAUGAACGCUGGCGGCGUGCUUAACACAUGCAAGUCGAACGAUGAAGCUCAGCUUGCUGGGUGGAUUAGUGGCGAACGGGUGAGUAACACGUGAGUAACCUGCCCUUAACUCUGGGAUAAGCCUGGGAAACUAGGUCUAAUACCGGAUAGGAGCGCCUACCGCAUGGUGGGUGUUGGAAAGAUUUAUCGGUUUUGGAUGGACUCGCGGCCUAUCAGCUUGUUGGUGAGGUAAUGGCUCACCAAGGCGACGACGGGUAGCCGGCCUGAGAGGGUGACCGGCCACACUGGGACUGAGACACGGCCCAGACUCCUACGGGAGGCAGCAGUGGGGAAUAUUGCACAAUGGGCGAAAGCCUGAUGCAGCGACGCCGCGUGAGGGAUGACGGCCUUCGGGUUGUAAACCUCUUUCAGUAGGGAAGAAGCGAAAGUGACGGUACCUGCAGAAGAAGCACCGGCUAACUACAUG